CCGAUGGCGGGGGGUAACUACUGGAAACGGUAGCUAAUACCGCAUAACGUCGCAAGACCAAAGAGGGGGACCUUCGGGCCUCUUGCCAUCGGAUGUGCCCAGAUGGGAUUAGCUAGUAGGUGGGGUAACGGCUCACCUAGGCGACGAUCCCUAGCUGGUCUGAGAGGAUGACCAGCCACACUGGAACUGAGACACGGUCCAG
rnacentral:rRNA from 1 species